rnacentral:rRNA from 1 species
GGUUAAGCGACUAAGCGUACACGGUGGAUGCCCUGGCAGUCAGAGGCGAUGAAGGACGUGCUAAUCUGCGAUAAGCGUCGGUGAGGUGAUAUGAACCGUUAUAACCGGCGAUUUCCGAAUGGGGAAACCCAGUGUGUUUCGACACACUAUCAUUAACUGAAUCCAUAGGUUAAUGAGGCGAACCGGGGGAACUGAAACAUCUAAGUACCCCGAGGAAAAGAAAUCAACCGAGAUUCCCCCAGUAGCGGCGAGCGAACGGGGAGGAGCCCAGAGCCUGAAUCAGUGUGUGUGUUAGUGGAAGCGUCUGGAAAGGCGUGCGAUACAGGGUGACAGCCCCGUACACAAAAAUGCACAUAUUGUGAGCUCGAUGAGUAGGGCGGGACACGUGGUAUCCUGUCUGAAUAUGGGGGGACCAUCCUCCAAGGCUAAAUACUCCUGACUGACCGAUAGUGAACCAGUACCGUGAGGGAAAGGCGAAAAGAACCCCGGCGAGGGGAGUGAAAAAGAACCUGAAACCGUGUACGUACAAGCAGUGGGAGCCUCUUUAUGGGGUGACUGCGUACCUUUUGUAUAAUGGGUCAGCGACUUAUAUUCUGUAGCAAGGUUAACCGAAUAGGGGAGCCGAAGGGAAACCGAGUCUUAACUGGGCGUUAAGUUGCAGGGUAUAGACCCGAAACCCGGUGAUCUAGCCAUGGGCAGGUUGAAGGUUGGGUAACACUAACUGGAGGACCGAACCGACUAAUGUUGAAAAAUUAGCGGAUGACUUGUGGCUGGGGGUGAAAGGCCAAUCAAACCGGGAGAUAGCUGGUUCUCCCCGAAAGCUAUUUAGGUAGCGCCUCGUGAAUUCAUCUCCGGGGGUAGAGCACUGUUUCGGCAAGGGGGUCAUCCCGACUUACCAACCCGAUGCAAACUGCGAAUACCGGAGAAUGUUAUCACGGGAGACACACGGCGGGUGCUAACGUCCGUCGUGAAGAGGGAAACAACCCAGACCGCCAGCUAAGGUCCCAAAGUCAUGGUUAAGUGGGAAACGAUGUGGGAAGGCCCAGACAGCCAGGAUGUUGGCUUAGAAGCAGCCAUCAUUUAAAGAAAGCGUAAUAGCUCACUGGUCGAGUCGGCCUGCGCGGAAGAUGUAACGGGGCUAAACCAUGCACCGAAGCUGCGGCAGCGACACUAUGUGUUGUUGGGUAGGGGAGCGUUCUGUAAGCCUGUGAAGGUGGCCUGUGAGGGUUGCUGGAGGUAUCAGAAGUGCGAAUGCUGACAUAAGUAACGAUAAAGCGGGUGAAAAGCCCGCUCGCCGGAAGACCAAGGGUUCCUGUCCAACGUUA